rnacentral:rRNA from 1 species
CCUACGGGAGGCAGCAGUGAGGAAUAUUGGUCAAUGGACGCGAGCCUGAACCAGCCAAGUCGCGUGAGGGAUGACUGCCCUAUGAGUUGUAAACUGCUUUUGUAUGAGGGUAAUCCGCUUUACGUGUAUAGUGUUGAAAGUACCCUACGAAUAAGCAUCGGCUAACUCCGUGCCAGCAGCCGCGGUAAUACGGAGGAUCCGAGCGUUAUCCGGAUUUAUUGGGUUUAAAGGGUGCGUAGGCGGUAUGAUAAGUUAGUGGGAAAAGGUUGGGGCUUAACCCCACUACGCCAUUAAUACUGUUGGGCUAGAGAAUAGACGCGGUAGGCGGAAUGUGUGGAGUAGCGGUGAAAUGCAUAGAGAUAAUACAGAACACCGAUAGCGAAGGCAGCUUACCAGACUGAGUCUGACGUUGAGGCACGAGAGCAUGGGUAGCGAACAGGAUUAGAUACCCUGGUAGUC